GGACAGCCGCUUGAAUGCCAGUCCCUCUGAUGACACAGCAAUCCCAAGCUCAGUGGCCACUUCCCUCGGGGAUCAUGUUGUAAGAAGAGUUCAGCCUCCUGCAAUACACCUGGAUCGUCUUCAGGCUUCUUCACAACUUGCUGAUGAGCUGAUCAUUUGAAUUUGAAGGCUUGGUGCAGGAGGGAGCGAUGGAAUGCAGACCUGAUCUUGAGGACCGCAGCUGGACAUGCCCGAGCUCCAGCCUAUUCAUCUAACGUCAUGAAUGUGGGGAAUUCCGAGUGUUCUGGUUGUCAAUUGAUGUCAUAUUUUGCUCCUGCAUUUGUCCGUUAGAUGGCGCUUUUGCCCUACGUGAACUCAAUCUAUUUGGGUCGUCCCCAUUUUGACAUGUGCUUCACAUGAGGGUCAUGUGGUUUCUUUGUUUACAGUAAUAAAGUGUGACAAAUUUGA